AAUCAACGCUGGCGGCGUGCCUAACACAUGCAAGUCGGACGAGAAAGUGGGGGCAACCCUGCGAGUACAGUGGCAGACGGGUGAGUAACACGUGAACAACCUACCCUUGAGUGGGGAAUAACACCGCGAAAGUGGUGCUAAUACCGCAUAAAAUCUUUGGUCUGCAUGGAUUAGAGAUCAAAAGCGAGAGUUGCUUGAGGAGGGGUUCGCGGCUGAUUAGCUAGUUGGUGAGGUAACGGCCCACCAAGGCAACGAUCAGUAGCCGGCCUGAGAGGGUGAACGGCCACACUGGAACUGAGACACGGUCCAGACUCCUACGGGAGGCAGCAGUGGGGAAUUUUGCGCAAUGGGGGAAACCCUGACGCAGCGACGCCGCGUGAAGGAUGAAGGUCUUCGGAUUGUAAACUUCUUUUGUCGGGGAAGAUAAUGACGGUACCCGAUGAAUAAGCCACGGCUAACUCUGUGCCAGCCGCCGCCGUAAAAC
rnacentral:rRNA from 1 species